AGAUCCUCUGGCUCCCUCUCUGUCAGCCCUUUCUCUGUUUGUGUGUGCUCUCUCAAAAAUAAAUAAAUGUUAAAAAAGAAAUUGGCAAACAAUAAAGCUCAGUGUGGUGGGUGUUUUUCCCCCUGCCAAAAGUCACCUUUGCAUAUAUGCCACAUGAGCCGUGUGAACCUUGGGUGAUACUUAUUUCACAAGGGGAUUAGUGCAAAUGAGAUACUUAAUUUGGAAGUCCUCUUUCACCUGUAAAGUUUCUACAUGUGUUAGUUUUUAUUAUUUGAAAUAAAAUGUUAAAUAUGAAGCUUUAACAUUUAUUAAAAUCUAAGUGUGUAAUUAUUACCUUUCAUUGCAAGCUUCAAAUAUGAUAUAGGACAAGAUUUCAGAAAGCAAAACAAUUAGGAAGCAGCCUUUUUGUGUUGGUUAAAGCUAUUAUGUGCAAGUUACAAAACUCCUAACUCCAACCGGCUUCAACGGUGAAGUGAGUUCACUGUCACCUAAACUAAAAGGCCAGAGAGAGUGCCAGCUUAAUUCAGCUAGCUUAAUCCAGAGGCCAGGCUAAACCCAGCAGGUCAGAUGAUGCCAUCGUAGAGCGGGAGGACCAUAUGUUCCUGUUUGCCCAGGAUAGUCCUGUUUACGCAUCCUAUCUUGUUUGGUGUAUGUCUUGCCCGGUUUCAUUCUCGAAGUUGUCCUAGUUUAGAAGAUAAAUGAUAUGUUUACUUAACCAAGGUUUGCUCUCUCUGCUCAGUUUUUUUGUGUUGCAGGAUUCACCCUCAGGUAUCACAAGACAUGUUUCCCCACCCGUUCCCCGCAGUUCCAGCCUCUUCCAUGCAGAGAGCAUAAGAUCUGUAGAAGCUGCAGACCCCAUAACCUCAUACCACCCAAUCUAGUGGGCAGAAAAUCUCUUCCAGUAGCCUGUGCAAGUGCUGGGAUUCACUGCCUCUCCCUGGUCUGAUUUGGGUCACAUGGCCAUUGCUGAAACAUCCCUUUGGGAACAUGGAUUCACCAAUGGACUUAGUCAACUGUGCUCACACCUAGAGUAGGCCUGAGAGAAUUCCAAACAAAUCACCUAACUGAGAAUGAGGUGACUUCUCCCAAGGAACAGCAAGUAACUGUCGGCAGCAGAAGAGGUAAGAAGCCUUCUGUGAGGUGCUGUGAAGCUGCUUCUGUGUGAGGCUGAUCUAGUAAUGGUGGCCAGAUACAACACAGUGGAGGAUGUGCCAGAGGCAUUCAUACAGGGGGUGAAGUGCAGUGAUUAACAGCACAGAUCUUGGAGCCAAGAAGGCCUGCGUUCAAAUCUCAGCUCUGCCAAUUACUAAGAGCAUAUGAGCUGGGGAGAGCAAGAGAGGCUUAAGCAGCCACCAUGUGGAGACUGAUGCGGGACUCAAUCGUACGAUCCUGGGAUCAGGACCUGAGUGGAAAUCAAGAGUCAGAUGCUCAACCGACUGAGCCAACCAGGUGUCCCAGGAGAGUUCCUUUAAAAUCAGAAAGUUUCACUUAGCAAAAUACAUCGUCCAACCAUGGCGUCUGGGUGAGGAAAGUGAACGAGCAAGAGUGAGCUCCGGUUACCUGUGUGGAGGCAUUAAUUUCAGCGUCUACUGCCCAGAUUUUUAGAAGUUUGUCAGUUAUUACUGGUCAAGUUUUCGGUGGGUAUGAGCAACUAUCAACUACGAAGACUAUGGAACAACAACAACAACAACAAAAAGUCACAUCAAAUGUUUACUUCUUGCUCUGGAAGUUCAGAAAUCUUGUCUUACUUGUGAAACAGAGAAAGACAAAAUAAAAUUGACAAUGUA